CGUUGUACGUUUUUAUGCUCUAAUUUCUUCGAAUCUAUAGACACUUACGAGUAUAUCGAGUUGAAGUUCUAUAAAAUACUCGUCUUUAUAUUGGAACGCGCCGCACGCCCGAACUCACGUCUCGGAAACCGGUUCCGUUGGCCGAACCCCUGCCACCGUUCGAACUGCGAGCGACGCGUCACGCGAGUCACCGAUGCCAGUGCGACCGGGGAAAGGAUUAUUACCGACCUACCGCGAACAGCUGAGCGCGUACUCUCGAGUUCUAUUUUUUCACAGUGAGGCCCUAAUACCGGCCACUUAAAAUAUAAAACUUUAAAUAUAUCUACUAAUUAAAUUCAGUGAACCCCAUAUCGGGGUUCAAGUUCAAGUUCAAGUUCAAGUUCAAGUUCAAGUCCAAGUCGAGUCUCCAGCUUCAAGCCUCCAGUUCCUGCUCAAGUACUUGUAAGCCACCGAGGCUGCGUUUUCUACUCUUCUUCUUCCUCUUCGUUCCUGCCUAAUGUCCUUGACGCCGUCAUCUAUCGACCGUCAGGAUUAGAAACGUUCCUGCCGAAGACCUUGACUGCCCUUGAGUCUCCGUCGGUCAGCUGCUACCCGGGAAGGAGACCGCGGGCCCCUACACAUCCGGAUACUGAGGCAGGAUAGUGGUGUUUCUCUAGCGACAUUCAAUUCCUCGCGCGCUCGAUAUUUUAAAACCACCCCCAGCUCAACCGACUAAUUGUUUUUUUCUCAAGAAUAAAUUGUUAAUCUCAU